rnacentral:rRNA from 1 species
AUUGAACGCUGGCGGCAGGCUUAACACAUGCAAGUCGAGCGGGGAAGGGUAGCUUGCUACCUAACCUAGCGGCGGACGGGUGAGUAAUGCUUAGGAAUCUGCCUAUUAGUGGGGGACAACAUUCCGAAAGGAAUGCUAAUACCGCAUACGCCCUACGGGGGAAAGCAGGGGAUCUUCGGACCUUGCGCUAAUAGAUGAGCCUAAGUCAGAUUAGCUAGUUGGUGGGGUAAAGGCCUACCAAGGCGACGAUCUGUAGCGGGUCUGAGAGGAUGAUCCGCCACCCUGGGACUGAAGCACGGCCCAGACUCCUACGGGAGGCAGCAGUGGGGAAUAUUGGACAAUGGGCGAAAGCCUGAUCCAGCCAUGCCGCGUGUGUGAAGAAGGCCUUUUGGUUGUAAAGCACUUUAAGCGAGGAGGAGGCUACCGAGAUUAAUGUUCUUGGAUAGUGGACGUUACUCGCAGAAUAAGCACCGGCUAACUCUGUGCCAGCCGCCGCGGUAACAC